AUUGAACGCUGGCGGCAGGCCUAACACAUGCAAGUCGAACGGUAACAGGAAACAGCUUGCUGUUCCGCUGACGAGUGGCGGACGGGUGAGGAAUGUCUGGGAAACUGCCUGAUGGAGGGGGAUAACUACUGGAAACGGUAGCUAAUACCGCAUAUCGUCGCAAGACCAAAGAGGGGGAUCUUCGGGCCUCUUGCUAUUGGAGGGGCCCAGAUGGGAUUAGCUAGUAGGUGGGGUAACGGCUCACCUAGGCGACGAUCCCUAGCUGGUCUGAGAGGAUGACCAGCCACACUGGAACUGAGACACGGUCCAGACUCCUACGGGAGGCAGCAGUGGGGAAUAUUGCACAAUGGGCGCAAGCCUGAUGCAGCCAUGUCGCGUGUAUGAAGAAGGCCUUCGGGUUGUAAAGUACUUUCAGCGGGGAGGAAGGGAGUAAAGUUAAUACCUUUGCUCAUUGACGUUACCCGCAGAAGAAGCACCGGCUAACUCCGUGCCAGCCGCCGCGGUAA
rnacentral:rRNA from 1 species